rnacentral:rRNA from 1 species
GGGUCAGUAGGUUGGUCGUGCCACCGGUACGUAUUAGUCUCACUGAUUCCUCCUUCCUGAAGAACCGUAAUGCCAUUAAUUUGGUGUUGCGGGGAAACAGGACUGUUACUUUGAAAAAAUUAGAGUGUUUAAAGCAAGCUAACGCUUGAAUACAUUAGCAUGGAAUAAUGAAAUAGGACGAUCGACCCUAUUUUGUUGGUUUCUAGGAUUGACGUA